rnacentral:rRNA from 1 species
AUACGUAGGGUGCGAGCGUUGUCCGGAAUUACUGGGCGUAAAGAGCUCGUAGGUGGUUUGUCGCGUCGUCUGUGAAAUUCCGGGGCUUAACUCCGGGCGUGCAGGCGAUACGGGCAUAACUUGAGUACUGUAGGGGAGACUGGAAUUCCUGGUGUAGCGGUGAAAUGCGCAGAUAUCAGGAGGAACACCGGUGGCGAAGGCGGGUCUCUGGGCAGUAACUGACGCUGAGGAGCGAAAGCAUGGGUAGCGAACAGGGUUAGAUACCCUGGUAGUCCAUGCCGUAAACGGUGGGCGCUAGGUGUAGGGGUCUUCCACGACUUCUGUGCCGUAGCUAACGCAUUAAGCGCCCCGCCUGGGGAGUACGGCCGCAAGGCUAAAACUCAAAGGAAUUGACGGGG